rnacentral:rRNA from 1 species
UACGGAGGGUGCAAGCGUUAUCCGGAUUCACUGGGUUUAAAGGGUGCGUAGGAGGGUAGGUAAGUCAGUGGUGAAAUCUUCGAGCUUAACUCGGAAACUGCCGUUGAUACUAUCUAUCUUGAAUACCGUGGAGGUGAGUGGAAUAUGUCAUGUAGCGGUGAAAUGCUUAGAUAUGACAUAGAACACCAAUUGCGAAGGCAGCUCGCUACACGAAUAUUGACUCUGAGGCACGAAAGCGUGGGGAGCAAACAGG